rnacentral:rRNA from 1 species
CGCUGGCGGCGUGCUUAACACAUGCAAGUCGAACGGAGUACCCUUGAUUGAGGCUUCGGCCAAUUUCUUGGACUACUUAGUGGCGGACGGGUGAGUAACACGUGAGUAACCUGCCCUUGAGUGGGGAAUAACACACCGAAAGGUGUGCUAAUACCGCAUAACAUAACGGAAUCGCAUGUUUCUGUUAUCAAAGAUUUAUUGCUCAAGGAUGGGCUCGCGGCCGAUUAGGUAGUUGGUGAGGUAACGGCUCACCAAGCCGACGAUCGGUAGCCGGACUGAGAGGUUGAACGGCCACAUUGGGACUGAGACACGGCCCAGACUCCUACGGGAGGCAGCAGGUGGGGAAUAUUGCACAAUGGGGGAAACCCUGAUGCAGCGACGCCGCGUGAAGGAUGAAGGUCUUCGGAUCGUAAACUUUUGUCUUCAGGGACGAUAAUGACGGUACCUGAGGAGGAAGCCACGGCUAACUACGUG